CGGGGGUACACGAGUGGCGAACGGGUGAGUAACACGUGGGUGACCUGCCCUGUACUUCGGGAUAAGCCUGGGAAACUGGGUCUAAUACCGGAUAUGACCUUCCCCUGCAUGGGGGUUGGUGGAAAGCUUUUGCGGUACAGGAUGGGCCCGCGGCCUAUCAGCUUGUUGGUGGGGUAAUGGCCUACCAAGGCGACGACGGGUAGCCGGCCUGAGAGGGCGACCGGCCACACUGGGACUGAGACACGGCCCAGACUCCUACGGGAGGCAGCAGUGGGGAAUAUUGCACAAUGGGCGAAAGCCUGAUGCAGCGACGCCGCGUGAGGGAUGACGGCCUUCGGGUUGUAAACCUCUUUCAGUAGGGACGAAGCGCAAGUGACGGUACCUACAGAAGAAGCACCGGCCAACUACGUGCCAGCAGCCGCGGUAAUACGUAGGGUGCGAGCGUUGUCCGGAUUUACUGGGCGUAAAGAGCUCGUAGGCGGUUUGUCACGUCGUCUGUGAAAACCCGAGGCUUAACCUCGGGCCUGCAGGCGAUACGGGCAGACUUGAGUACUGUAGGGGAGACUGGAAUUCCUGGUGUAGCGGUGGAAUGCGCAGAUAUCAGGAGGAACACCGGUGGCGAAGGCGGGUCUCUGGGCAGUAACUGACGCUGAGGAGCGAAAGCGUGGGUAGCGAACAGGAUUAGAUACCCUGGUAGUCCACGCCGUAAACGGUGGGUACUAG
rnacentral:rRNA from 1 species